ensembl:miRNA MIR130A microRNA 130a
CUCCUGGCCGGGGCUCUUUUCACAUUGUGCUACUGUCUGCGCUUGUCACUAGCAGUGCAAUGUAAAAAGGGCAUUGGCUGGGCAG